CUAACUAUGGAAGUGGGCAGCUGAAAAGAAUUCAAGGACUGAAUAAAGGGCUAUGCUGAACUAGGCACAAUGUGAACAGUCACUCUCUGUUUCCUGGCUUUGGACACCAUGUGACCAGCCAUUUCCUGCUUCCUAGCUGUGGACACCAUGUGACCAGCCACUUCCUGCUUCCUAGCUAUGGACACCAUGUGACCAGUCACUUUCUGCUUCCUGGCUGUGGACACCAUAUGACCAGCCACUUCCUGCUGCCUCUCCCAUUUCUUCUUUGUUUUGAUGCACUGUAUCUCCUGUCCUGGUUAACUCAAGUAACCCUUUCCUUAAGUUGCUCUUGUG
rnacentral:lncRNA from 1 species